GUAGGUGGCAAGCGUUGUCCGGAAUUAUUGGGCGUAAAGCGCGCGCAGGCGGUUCUUUAAGUCUGAUGUGAAAGCCCACGGCUCAACCGUGGAGGGUCAUUGGAAACUGGAGAACUUGAGUACAGAAGAGGAAAGCGGAAUUCCACGUGUAGCGGUGAAAUGCGUAGAGAUGUGGAGGAACGCCAGUGGCGAAGGCGGCUUUCUGGUCUGUAACUGACGCUGAGGCGCGAAAGCGUGGGGGAGCAAACAGGAUUAGAUACCCUGGUAGUCCACGCCGUAAACGAUGAGUGCUAAGUGUUAGGGGGUUUUCCGCCCCUUAGUGCUGCAGCUAACGCAUUAAGCACUCCGCCUGGGAGUACGGCCGCAAGGCUG
rnacentral:rRNA from 1 species